UACGGAGGGAGCAAGCGUUGCUCGGAAUCACUGGGCGUAAAGGGCGUGUAGGCGGGAUGGCCAGUCGGAUGUGAAAGCCCCGGGCUCAACCCGGGAAGUGCAUUCGAUACUGCCGUUCUUGAGUGUGGUAGGGGAGAGCGGAAUUCCUGGUGUAGCGGUGAAAUGCGUAGAUAUCAGGAAGAACACCUGUGGCGAAGGCGGCUCUCUGGACCACAACUGACGCUGAGGCGCGAAAGCUAGGGGAGCAAACGGG
rnacentral:rRNA from 1 species